GCAACACUGCCACCUGCUGGUAUGUCAAUCCCUCGCAAUAUAUGGCCCGUAGCUGAUUUACGGCCCUUUCCGUUCUGGAGUCCACCAGUGCUUCCCAACCACGGGUCGCAGGGAGUGCUGUGUGGCUUAGCCCAGCUGUCAUCAGGCAGGAGCGUCUUGCAGUUUUUACUUGGUGCUGCGAGGUUCAGGCGGCCCGUUGCCCUGCAACCUCUUGACCAGCAGCUCGCUGCUACGACGCAGGACAUCUCGGAUCUUUCCCAGAGAGCCGCUG